rnacentral:snRNA from 1 species
AGCUUUGCACAAUGGCAGUAUCGUAGCCAAUGAGGUUUAUCCGAGGCGUGAUUAUUGCUAAUUGAAAAAGUUUAUUUGGGCUUAUCGUUUAGAGAUUCUGUUUUUGAUUGGGAGACUCCA